ACACUCAAUUGGCAUCAAGAGUACAUUUCAUCUGAGGGGAAUAAAUGAUUGAGACACUUCCUUUCCCAAAGGUAAGGUUUACCUCUUACAUGCUGGAUGAGUUGUCCCUGUGAUCUCCUCAAAUGUGAGGAAAUUCACUGCAGUGUCUGUGGUAGUGUGGAACUGCAUUUGUGCUUCACCCUG
ensembl:snRNA U1 U1 spliceosomal RNA